UACGGAGGAUGCGAGCGUUAUCCGGAUUUAUUGGGUUUAAAGGGUGCGUAGGCGGGCUUUUAAGUCAGCGGUAAAAAUUCGGGGCUCAACCCCGUCCGGCCGUUGAAACUGGGGGCCUUGAGUGGGCGAGAAGAAGGCGGAAUGCGUGGUGUAGCGGUGAAAUGCAUAGAUAUCACGCAGAUCCCCGAUUGCGAAGGCAGCCUUCCGGCGCCCUACUGACGCUGAGGCACGAAAGUGCGGGGAUCGAACAGG
rnacentral:rRNA from 1 species